rnacentral:rRNA from 1 species
AUGGAAGGCAGCGGAGGAGAAGAAGCCGGCGAUGGCCAGCAAGGCAAGCCCGUCGCGAUGGCCGGUGGCGGAACACGCGACCGUGGUGGAUCUGGAUCUGGAGGCCCUUGCCGUGCUCUGGCAGCCAGGUUCCAUCCUUGUCCGCCCUUGAAGACCAAUCGGGUUCGGCAGAGCGGCGUCGGAGCAAAAUUUUCCAGGUACCUAGAGCUGGUAGAUGGAGCAGGGGCGGUGAAGCCGGUGUCGGGCACGUAG